UACGGGGGGGAGCAAGCGUUGUUCGGAUUUACUGGGCGUAAAGGGCGCGUAGGCGGCGCAACAAGUCACUUGUGAAAUCUCCGGGCUUAACCCGGAGCGGUCAAGUGAUACUGUCGUGCUAGAGUGCGGAAGGGGCUACUGGAAUUCUCGGUGUAGCGGUGAAAUGCGUAGAUAUCGAGAGGGAAACACCUGCGGCGAAGGCGGGUAGCUGGGCCGACACUGACGCUGAUGCGCGAAAGCCAGGGGAGCGAACGGG
rnacentral:rRNA from 1 species